rnacentral:rRNA from 1 species
UACGAAGGGGGCUAGCGUUGUUCGGAAUUACUGGGCGUAAAGCGCGUGUAGGCGGGUCUUUAAGUCAGGGGUGAAAUCCUGGAGCUCAACUCCAGAACUGCCUUUGAUACUGAGGAUCUUGAGUUCGGGAGAGGUGAGUGGAACUGCGAGUGUAGAGGUGAAAUUCGUAGAUAUUCGCAAGAACACCAGUGGCGAAGGCGGCUCACUGGCCCGAUACUGACGCUGAGGCACGAAAGCGUGGGGAGCAAACAGGG